GAUGAACGCUGGCGGCGUGCCUAAUACAUGCAAGUCGAGCGAACAGACGAGGAGCUUGCUCCUCUGACGUUAGCGGCGGACGGGUGAGUAACACGUGGAUAACCUACCUAUAAGACUGGUAUAACUUCGGGAAACCGGAUCUAAUACCGGAUAAUAUAUUGAACCGCAUGGUUCAAUAGUGAAUGACGGCUUUUCUGUCACUUAUAGAUGGAUCCGCGCCGCAUUAGCUAGUUGGUAAGGUAACGGCUUACCAAGGCAACGAUGCGUAGACGACCUGAGAGGGUGAUCGGCCACCCUGGAACGGAGACACGGUCCAGAGUACUAAGGGAGGCAGCAGUAGGGAAUGUUCCGCAAUGGGCGAAAGUCUGACGGAGUAAGGCCGAGUGAGUGAUGAAGGUCUUCGGAUCGUAAAAAUCUGUUAUUAGGGAAGAACAACUGUGUACGUAAAUAUGGCGGUCUUGACGGUACCUAAUCAGAAAGCAACGGCUAACUACGUG
rnacentral:rRNA from 1 species